UUGAUAAAAAAAAAAAACCCUAACCUGAGGGAAACUACGAGUUUAUGAAGCAAAAUCCAUAUCAAGUUUCUUUUACAAGGGAAAGGUACUUUUGCUUUUACUUAUGGUUGAUUCUUCUCUUUACAUCUCUCAAAGUUGGUUGCGACGGGAACUUGUGUUACUGUUGAUGGAGUUUUGAAGAUUCCUCCCGAAGGUAAAGAGGUGUGAAGCAGAGCAUUGAGCUUAACUUUGGCCAUUGAGAAUUGAUGUGGGAACGGGUGGAUCCGACUAAGUAUCCGCUAAAGCAAUAGAGGUACUUGAGAAAACUGUAGCUGAAGGAAAGGAAUUUGAUAACAAAGUGGAGUGGGGAGUCGACUUGGCCUCAGAGCCAAACAGAGGAUCUAGGAGAUAGGUCUACCAAUUGAGCCAUAUGAGUGGUACGUUGACUUGCGUCGUUAUGGAACAGUGAAGCAUUGUGGAUUUGGACUUGGCUUCGAACGUAUGAUUCUGUUCGCUACAGGAAUUGACAACAUCAGAGAUGUUAUCCAUUUCCCUUGAUAUCCUGGAAAAGCUGAUCUCUGAUUCCUCCUCUCUAGACAAUAUCCGACCAAGAUGGUUUUAGUUUAUUGUAGUCUGUAAGUACAAAUUCAGACUUCAUUACAUACCAAUUUAAACAAGCCUUUUCAGGAAUUAAGCUUCUCUCUCUC